AGUCCCGUAGCUCAAGCGGAGCAUCCGCCCCGGACUGCGGCGGGACGGCAGGUUCCGGGUUCGAAUCCCGGCGAGGCGACCA
rnacentral:tRNA from 1 species